rnacentral:tRNA from 1 species
CCGUGGAUCGGUGGGCUCGGCCGGCUCGCCGCCGUCGAGUCGACGGCGAGCGAGCUCGUCGACCCGUUCCGCAGCGGGCUCGACGGUCC